UACAGAGGUCUCAAGCGUUGUUCGGAUUCAUUGGGCGUAAAGGGUGUGUAGGUGGCGCCGUAAGUCGGGUGUGAAAUUUCGGAGCUUAACUCCGAAACUGCAUUCGAUACUGCGGUGCUUGAGGACUGGAGAGGAGACUGGAAUUCAUGGUGUAGCAGUGAAAUGCGUAGAGAUCAUGAGGAAGACCAGUGGCGAAGGCGACUUUCUGGUCUGUAACUGACGCUGAGGCGCGAAAGCGUGGGGAGCAAACAGG
rnacentral:rRNA from 1 species